AUUGAACGCUGGCGGCAGGCCUAACACAUGCAAGUCGAGCGGAUGAGAGGAGCUUGCUCUUCGAUUCAGCGGCGGACGGGUGAGUAAUGCCUAGGAAUCUGCCUAGUAGUGGGGGACAACGUUUCGAAAGGAACGCUAAUACCGCAUACGUCCUACGGGAGAAAGUGGGGGAUCUCAGGACCUCACGCUAUGAGACGAGCCUAGGUCGGAUUAGCUAGUUGGUAGGGUAACGGCCUACCAAGGGGACAAUCAGUAACUGGGCUGAGAGGAUGAUCAGUCACACUGGAACUGAGAAACGGUCCAGACUCCUACGGGAGGCAGCAGUGGGGAAUAUUGGACAAUGGGCGAAAGCCUGAUCCAGCCAUGCCGCGUGUGUGAAGAAGGCCCUCGGGUCGUAAAGCACUUUAAGUUGGGAGGAAGGGCUUACAGCGAAUACCUGUGAGUUUUGACGUUACCGACAGAAUAAGCACCGGCUAACUUCGUGCCAGCAGCCGCGGUAA
rnacentral:rRNA from 1 species